AACGCACAUUGCGCCCUCUGGUAUUCCGGGGGGCAUGCCUGUUCGAGCGUCAUUACAACCCUCAAGCUCUGCUUGGUACUGGGCGUCACCGCUGGGUGUGCCUCAAAAUCAGUGGCGGUGCCGUCUGGCUUCCAGCGUAGUAACAUCUCUCGCUACGGAGCCCAGGCGAGCGCCCGCCAGAACCCCCAUUUCUCAAGGUUGACCUCGGAUCAGGUAGGGAUACCCGCUGAACUUAA
rnacentral:misc_RNA from 1 species